rnacentral:rRNA from 1 species
UACGGAGGUGGCAAGCGUUGUUCGGAAUUACUGGGCGUAAAGGGCGCGUAGGCGGCAUUGCAAGUCAGAUGUGAAAGCCCCGGGCUUAACUUGGGAACUGCAUCUGAAACUGCUUUGCUUGAGUCCUGGAGGGGGUAGUGGAAUUCCCAGUGUAGCGGUGAAAUGCGUAGAUAUUGGGAGGAACACCUGCGGCGAAGGCGGCUACCUGGACAGUGACUGACGCUGAUGCGCGAAAGCUAGGGUAGCAAACGGG